UCACACACACUCCUGUCUGCACAGCCGAAGGACAGGCAGACUGACAAGAAAGACAAAGAGUUGGAGACACCGAGAGACAACGAAAGAGAGAAGAUGGGAAAUGUGAAGUUCAACUGUAACAGAGACACUGGACAGCUUGAGGAAAGUGAAAACAAGCCAGAGCAAAGGAGUAAAAAAAAAAAAAAAAAAAGCCAGUUUCUUUCAGAGAGGCACUUCACACUCAGUUCAUAGCGAAUCCUGCAACCUGUUGAUCAGGACAGAUGUUCACAAGGAGCGACAGUAAUGUGCGCCUGCUGUACAAAUGUACUGUAAUGUUGGCAUUGGAAUUUUGCCCUGAUCUGAGACUGAGGUCUGCCACUGUGGAGCAGCUCCAUUACAAAGGUCAGACGUAAAUAGUUCCUUUGAAUGGGAAGGCUUAAUUUCUGUCUGCCUGCCUGUCUGUCUGUCUGUUUGAUUUAGGGAUUAUAUGUCCACUUGUCUGAAUAACUUACAGCGUAAUUGGGCAGUGUGUACCUGUGUGUGUGCAACUGUGUGCACGCUGUAUGUAUGUCAUCUGUCGACCCAUGUGUGUCAUCUGUCUGUCUUCAUGUGCAUCCGUCUGCGUGCUUGUCUGUGGGGUGUUACUGGCAGCACAGAGCGAGAAUAAAGGUCAUAAAAAGUUCUCGAAAAGCAGUCGAAAGACGUAAUGGUAGUGCUGAAGCGAGGCCGGAGCCACUCAAACAUUCCUCUCAUUGUUCAGAGGCCCUGUAAGUCUGUGAGCUCCCAAACCUCCAUGAAAGGAAGGGAAUCCAGCAGCUACUGUAGCUAACCCAGUUUCAGCUGCAGUUCAGAGCUGGUUGGCUGUGUCUUCCUACUCACCGUCCUGUCUGGUUCCCCUCUGGGAGUGUUGAUAUAGACAAAAUUUCACAGUGAAAGACCAUAAUGGAUCUAAAGGAGGUUUUGAGACUGAAAUACAGAAGAAAGAAGACAAUAAUGAGUUAACAUAGCCCAAAGGGGAGGUAUCAUCUACUUUUCUUUCUAUGACUUUGACUUUAGAUAACCUCUAAGCCAGAGGACAUGGGAAAGAAGAGAGGGAGGUGGAAAGUAUCAUUUUUCUGCCUUUCAAAGCACAGAAUCAUUAGUUAGGCAAAUCUACCGCAGAAGGCCAAAUGGAUGGAGAGAAGGAUGAUCGAAAGAGAGAAGAGAGGCAGCGGCAGGAGGAACAGAGAAGUGGGGUUGCAGAACUCAAACCUUGGCUUUGGUGGGGUGGCUGGGUGGGUGGGUGUGCCCGGCAGCAAUCCACAGAAAUGGGCCCAGGCUCAGGAAACCGUGGCGUAGUGGAAUAAAAGUGUGUGUAUGUGGGUUUGUGCACUUUCUACAUCCAUUUGUGCAUGUGUGGUGCAGUGGCAGCAGGGCGGCUGUAGACUAAGUACAGGGCUGGUGGUGGUAAGGGUGUUUGGCAAUGAAUCAGACUUAGGAUAGGGUUACAUGCAUUGGGCUGCAGGGAGCGUACCACGGGCUUGGGCUGGGCUCUUCACUGCUGAGGCUAGCUUUACAGCCCCAACAGACUUUGAGCUUUUCUCUCUCUUUUUUUCUUAAUCAGAAGCUGGAAAUACUUUUUUAUUCUCAGUCCCACAUGUGGUGUGUUUCACUGAUUCCAGGCCAGCCGAUGAACGUUUUCCUUAGAUCAGGGAAAACUGCAACAGAGAGGGCCCAAAGUAGACUGCAAGUCCUUGUUUGAAUGUCAUUGAAUGUCACGGCCUCAGCGAUAAUUACACUCUUGCACGCAACGUGAAACAAAUACAGUUUUUACUCAUAGGCAGACACAUAGUGUCUGGCAGCCAAGGAGCCAGGGUGUGGUGCUGUGUAAGGUGUAUGAGGUCAACGAUCUAGUUUUAAAUCAUCAGGAUGUAUAUGUAUUUAUGUUUUUUACUGUCUAACUGAUUAUCUUGCCAAGGAUUGGAAACUGAAAGGGUAGAAUUAUCAUCCAUCUAAGAGCUUUUAGUGGCCCAGGCUAUCCGCUAUCAGUGUUUAUGAUGAGAUUAAGAGGCUGAAAAUUUUGUGGCGAAAAUGCCGCCAAUUUGUGCUUCACUAUGUGCUUUCCUUUUCACAUUCACCUCCUCACAUUUUUUAGAUUUAGCUAAACGCCUAAGUGAUAUGAAGUCACUUUUACUGUUUUUUCAUGGUCUUCGCUUAUCAGGGCGAGUGUGCUUAAUAGGUGUAAUGGAUACGACAGCUAUUAUGAAAAGCAAACGUGGCAUAUUUGCACUUUAAGAAGGGAAUUCAGACAUUAUUGUAACCUUUGUGCACUAUUGUUGACAUAAUGUCUUGGACCAUUAGAUGUAGACAUAUUGAUUUCACAUGAAGCUGAGAAACAAAUUGCCCUGUGUAAAAUUCUCUGUUGCAAAGGAAAAAUACAAAAACACCGCAGCCUUUAUACACUGUUAUUAAUGGAGUGCAAAAGAGCAGAGUACAGUCAGCCUAUGGGUUGUCCUGCUCACUGUUUGCACUGUGAAGCAGUUCACAGCCUGGAGGUGCGAAUGAUGUCACACUGGUAUGUAUUUGUACUAUUCCUGGUUUAUGAGACAGAGUGAGAGUCCAACUAACGCACAUGCCAUGUUUGCCCAGCAGCCCACUAACAUAACUGCGUUUGUUUAUUGAUAGUGAGCAUAUUGUGUGCAGAGUGGCAGAUUGCAUACGGCCUGCGUGAAAGUGUGUGUGCUUCUUGUUGCGUUUGUGUGUGCGUGGAUACACAAGGGCAUACAGAGAGAGAAGAUAUGUGUUGAAAAAACAAGGGGUUGAGAUCCAGCUGUCUCAACAGAGGCUUUUCCACUUAACCAUGUGCCCUUGUGUAAACGGCAAUGUCAGUUCUGAACCGGCUGAAGAGGGGAGACGGUCUGAAAAAACAGCUAGUGGCCACGUCUACAUUUGGAUCUCCAUACGUUGUUCUCUAGAUUAUAAACACAGUCCCACGUAUAUGAACAGUGGAGUAAACUGUAGAGUCUAAAAGCAUCUAAAACCAUCCAAAGAGUUGGAAGGCACACUGGUUUAAAAGGGCCCACACACAAAGUAACGUCUGAAAACAUUUAGACUUCACCAGAUCGCAUCCACUGAAGAUGUGACGAAUUCCACUACUCUAAUAUUAGCCGACGAUAAGUUGCAACCCACACAGCAGAGCUUUACGAUUAUUUCUAACCUUUAAAAAACACAGUUUCACCUAUAAAAACACUUCCACAGGGCUAAAAAAAAAAAAAAAAAGCAAAAA